UUAAGUGAAUAAGGGCGCACGGUGGAUGCCUUGGCACUAGGAGCCGAUGAAGGACGGGACUAACACCGAUAUGCUUUGGGGAGCUGUACGUAAGCUAUGAUCCAGAGAUUUCCGAAUGGGGGAACCCAACAUCUUUAAUAGGAUGUUACGAUUGUGUGAAUACAUAGCACAUUCGAGGUAGACGCAGAGAACUGAAACAUCUAAGUACCUGCAGGAAGAGAAAGAAAAUUCGAUUCCCUGAGUAGCGGCGAGCGAAACGGGAAAAGCCCAAACCAGCAAGCUUGCUUGUUGGGGUUGUAGGACUCCAAUAUGGUAGUUCUUUCAGAUAGUCGAAUGACUUGGAAAAGUCAGUCAAAGAGGGUAAAAACCCCGUAGACGAAAUGUGGAAGACACCUAGGAGGAUCCUGAGUACGGCGGAACACGAGAAAUUCCGUCGGAAUCCGGGAGGACCAUCUCCCAAGGCUAAAUACUCCCUAGUGACCGAUAGUGAACCAGUACCGUGAGGGAAAGGUGAAAAGCACCCCGGAAGGGGAGUGAAAUAGAACCUGAAACCGUGUGCCUACAACAAGUCAAAGCCCGUUAAUGGGUGAUGGCGUGCCUUUUGUAGAAUGAACCGGCGAGUUACGAUUGCAUGCGAGGUUAAGUUGAAGAGACGGAGCCGCAGCGAAAGCGAGUCUGAAUAGGGCGUUUGAGUAUGUAGUCGUAGACCCGAAACCAUGUGAUCUACCCAUGUCCAGGUUGAAGGUGCGGUAAAACGCACUGGAGGACCGAACCCACGUACGUUGAAAAGUGCGGGGAUGAGGUGUGGGUAGCGGAGAAAUUCCAAACGAACUUGGAGAUAGCUGGUUCUCUCCGAAAUAGCUUUAGGGCUAGCCUCGGAAUUGAGAAUGAUGGAGGUAGAGCACUGUUUGGACUAGGGGCCCAUCUCGGGUUACCGAAUUCAGAUAAACUCCGAAUGCCAUUCAUUCAUAUCCGGGAGUCAGACUGUGAGUGAUAAGAUCCAUAGUCGAAAGGGAAACAGCCCAGACCACCAGCUAAGGUCCCAAAAUAUAUGUUAAGUGGAAAAGGAUGUGGGGUUGCACAGACAACUAGGAUGUUGGCUUAGAAGCAGCCACCAUUUAAAGAGUGCGUAAUAGCUCACUAGUCGAGUGACCCUGCGCCGAAAAUGUACCGGGGCUAAACAUAUUACCGAAGCUGUGGAGUACACCUUUAGGUGUAUUGGUAGGAGAGCGUUCUAAGGGCGUCGAAGGCAGAUCGUGAGGACUGCUGGAGCGCUUAGAAGUGAGAAUGCCGGUAUGAGUAGCGAAAGACAGGUGAGAAUCCUGUCCACCGAAUGACUAAGGUUUCCUGGGGAAGGCUCGUCCGCCCAGGGUUAGUCGGGACCUAAGCCGAGGCCGACAGGCGUAGGCGAUGGAUAACAGGUUGAUAUUCCUGUACCCGUUGUUUUUGUUUGAGCAAUGGAGGGACGCAGGAGGCUAAGGAAUGCAGACGAUCGGAAAUGUCUGUCCAAGCAGUAAGUCUGAAGAGGAGUCAAAUGCUUCUUUUCUUAAGGACAAGCUGUGAUGGGGAGGGAAAUAAUAGUACCGAAGUUCCUGAUGUCACACUGCCGAGAAAAGCUUCUAGUGAGAAAACAGCGGCCCGUACCGCAAACCGACACAGGUAGUCGAGGAGAGAAUCCUAAGGUGAGCGAGAGAACUCUCGUUAAGGAACUCGGCAAAAUGACCCCGUAACUUCGGGAGAAGGGGUGCUGAUCAUACGAUCAGCCGCAGUGAAUAGGCCCAAGCGACUGUUUAUCAAAAACACAGGUCUCUGCAAAAUCGUAAGAUGAAGUAUAGGGGCUGACGCCUGCCCGGUGCUGGAAGGUUAAGAGGAGUGCUUAGCGCAAGCGAAGGUACGAAUUGAAGCCCCAGUAAACGGCGGCCGUAACUAUAACGGUCCUAAGGUAGCGAAAUUCCUUGUCGGGUAAGUUCCGACCCGCACGAAAGGCGUAACGAUUUGGGCACUGUCUCAACGAGAGACUCGGUGAAAUUUUAGUACCUGUGAAGAUGCAGGUUACCCGCGACAGGACGGAAAGACCCCAUGGAGCUUUACUGUAGUUUGAUAUUGAGUGUCUGUACCGCAUGUACAGGAUAGGUAGGAGCCGUAGAAAUCGGAACGCUAGUUUCGAUGGAGGCGCUGGUGGGAUACUACCCCUGCGUUAUGGCCACUCUAACCCGCACCACUAAUCGUGGUGGGAGACAGUGUCAGAUGGGCAGUUUGACUGGGGCGGUCGCCUCCUAAAAGGUAACGGAGGCGCCCAAAGGUUCCCUCAGAAUGGUUGGAAAUCAUUCGAAGAGUGUAAAGGCAGAAGGGAGCUUGACUGCGAGACCAACAAGUCGAGCAGGGACGAAAGUCGGGCUUAGUGAUCCGGUGGUUCCGCAUGGAAGGGCCAUCGCUCAACGGAUAAAAGCUACCCUGGGGAUAACAGGCUUAUCUCCCCCAAGAGUCCACAUCGACGGGGAGGUUUGGCACCUCGAUGUCGGCUCGUCGCAUCCUGGGGCUGUAGUCGGUCCCAAGGGUUGGGCUGUUCGCCCAUUAAAGCGGCAC
rnacentral:rRNA from 1 species